GACGAACGCUGGCGGCGUGCCUAAUACAUGCAAGUAGAACGCUGAAGAGAGGAGCUUGCUCUUCUUGGAUGAGUUGCGAACGGGUGAGUAACGCGUAGGUAACCUGCCUGGUAGCGGGGGAUAACUAUUGGAAACGAUAGCUAAUACCGCAUGAAAUUGCUUAUCGCAUGAUAAUUAAUUGAAAGAUGCAAUUGCAUCACUACCAGAUGGACCUGCGUUGUAUUAGCUAGUUGGUGAGGUAACGGCUCACCAAGGCGACGAUACAUAGCCGACCUGAGAGGGUGGUCGGCCACACUGGGACUGGGACACGGCCCAGACUCCUACGGGAGGAAGCAGUAGGGAAUCUUCGGCAAUGGGGGGAACCCUGACCGAGCAACGCCGCGUGAGUGAAGAAGGUUUUCGGAUCGUAAAGCUCUGUUGUAAGAGAAGAACGGGUGUGAGAGUGGAAAGUUCACACUGUGACGGUAUCUUACCAGAAAGGGACGGCUAACUACGUGCCAGCCGCCGCCGUAAUAC
rnacentral:rRNA from 1 species